UAUUUCCUACUUCAUUAAAUCUUAUUUUACUACUUUCCCACAGGUAAAUUUCGGCCGACCUCUUCCUUUCUUCAUGUCAUGCUCUCGGUAACAAACUUCUGUUCUUACCGGAGCAUCUAAGGAUCUUUGAAGAUUAUGCUCAAACCAUCUCAAUCUAUGUUCUCUCAUCUUUUCUGCCACCGGUACUACUCCAACUUUUCGUCGAAUAUCUUCGUUUCUUAUCUUAUCCAUACUUGUAUGACCACACAUCCAUAUUAACAUCCUCAUUUCUGCUACUCCCAUUUUAUGCUCAUGUUGCCUCUAUGCUGGCCAACAUUCAGCUCCGUAUAGCAUUGCAAAUCUUAUCGCUAUUUUAUAAAUUUUUCCUUUUAGCCUAAGAGGGAUUUUGCGAUCACACAAAAACCCCGAUGCACCGCACCAUUUCAUCCAGCCUGCUCUAAUUCUAUAGCUUACAUCCUCAUCAAUCUCUCCCCCUUUUUGCAAUAUUGAUCCCGGAUAUCUAAAGGCAUCUUUCUUGGAUACCUCCUGUCCGAGCAUAUUCAUGGAUUCUUGAUCUCCUCCUUUUGCCGUGUCGAACUCACACUUCAUGUAUUCGGUCUUACUUCGACUUAACGUAAAUCCUUUAGACUCCAACGUGCUCCUUUAUAAUUCUAAUUUAGCGUCAAUCCUAGCCCUAGUCUCAUCAAUAAGCACAAUAUCAUUUGCAAAUAACAUACACCACGGCACCUCAUCUUGGAUAUCUUUUGUUAGCUCAUCCAUAACUAGGGCAAAAAGAUAAGGACUCAAAGCAAAACCUUGGUGUAAGCCUACCGUGAUUGGAAAAUAACUUGAUGUGCCAUUACAAGCCUUCCCAUAUGUAGUAACACCAUCAUACAUAUCCUUGAUUGCCUCUACAUAAUUUGAAGGUACUUUUUUCUUCUCAAGAACCUACCACGUAACCUUUCUUAGAACCCUAUCAUACGCCUUCUCGAGAUCAAUAAACACCAUAUCGAGGUCCUUCCUUCUUU